rnacentral:rRNA from 1 species
UGGGGAAUAUUGCACAAUGGGCGAAAGCCUGAUGCAGCCAUGCCGCGUGUGUGAAGAAGGCCUUCGGGUUGUAAAGCACUUUAGGCGAGGAGGAAAAGCGUACGGUUAAUAACCGUGCGCCGUGACGUUACUCGCAGAAUGAGCACCGGCUAACUCCGUGCCAGCAGCCGCGGUAAUACGGAGGGUGCAAGCGUUAAUCGGAAUUACUGGGCGUAAAGCGCGCGUAGGCGGUUUGAUAAGCGGAGUGUGAAAUCCCCGGGCUCAACCUGGGAACUGCAUUCCGAACUGUCGAGCUAGAGUAUGAGAGAGGGUGGCGGAAUUCCGAGUGUAGCGGUGAAAUGCGUAGAUAUUCGGAGGAACACCAGUGGCGAAGGCGGCCACCUGGAUCAAUACUGACGCUGAGGCGCGAAAGCGUGGGUAGCAAACAGG